UGACUACGCAUCAUGUUAUGUUUUUCUAUGCUUUUUCAUAUAAAAAUCAAUUCAUAAUGCUUAAUUAUGGGAGUGUUUUGGUGAUUAAAUUGAAUAUUGCUUUGAUUGCUUGAGUUAAUAAAUUUUGUAGGAAAUUAUGGAAAAUGAAGCAAUAAAAGCACUAAUAGAGGAAGCACACUCCCAAGGUGGCAAAAAGUUGGAAACAAACUCAAAGAGAAGCAAAGAGGAUUUGCAACCCUGACCUCUUCACACUCCAACAAGAAUAACUCGAGCUACAAAGCUCCAAAUGAAGUGAUCUCAGUGUCAUUAGAAAGUAGACUUCUAGAGCUUUCCAACCAUAUAUAACACUUUAUAGUUGACACUGAUUUGAGGGGACAAAUUGCUAUUCGUUUAGCUUCACAAUUUCAGCGUAAAACAAGUCCCUGCAGUUCGCCAGACUGACCUCUUCACCUUCAAAAGAUCAUAACUUGGGCUAGAGAAGUCCAAUUGACAUGCUUCCAGCGGCGUUGGAAAGCUGAGAUCUAGGGCUUUCCAAAGAUAUAUAAUAGUCUAUAGUGGACAUUCAAUUUGGAGACCCAAACAGACCAAUACUUCAGCGUGUAAGGUUUUUCCAAACCUUCAAAAGCCCAAAAUGCCACUUCAAUGACACUCCACAUUGGGCCACUUCCAAAUACUCCAAUCCCUUCAUUUAUUCUUCAAUGUUUCAAGCUUCUAUGAAGGGAGUUAAAAGUUCACAAGCCCAAGUCAAGCCACAAGUAACAAUCAAUCAAGGCCACAAGAAUCAUCUAGAACUAAUUAGGAAAUUUGCAUUUGAUUGUAAUUUCAUUUGAAUUUGUAAUUUAGGUAGCUUAUAAAUAGGGCCUUAGAUUCAACAUUUGAGAGACACCAUGGAGGGGUGGAGGUGACUCCACUCCCCUUUCACUCUCAUUCUCUUCUCUUCUUUCAUUUUCUUUCAUUCACACUUUAGUAAAUAUUUUUGUUAUGAUGAGUUUCUAAUUUCCAACAUUUGGGAAAGAGAGCUCUAUUGCAAUUUAAUGGGUUGAUUUUUUUCAUUCUUCAUCUUCAAUUCUUCUUUCAUUGUUUCUUUAGAGAGAGUUUUUGUGCUUCAAAGAUCUAAUUACUAUCGAGAGAGGGAUUAGAUCUAUUUAAAUUCUAUGAUGAACUUGAGAAAGGAGUCAUAGAAUUUAGUUUGAGGCUCUUCUCUCACAACUCUCUUGAUUGAUAAUUCUUAGCUUGAUAUGUGAGAUGUAAUCACUUUGAAUUGAAAUCUUGAGGGUUGUGUGGCAAUUAGAGACCAUUCUUCAUCUCUUCUCAUGAGCAAUUAGAUCAAGAGAUUGGCAAUUGAUCAAGUUAAGAGAAAUCAAAUCACCAAGAGAUUGGGGUUUGAUUACUUAUGAUUUGCCAAGAGAUCAAUGAUUGAAUGAUUGAAGUGGAGAUGAGAAUUGUUGAUCUUGAGAAUGCAAUAUCUCUUGAUCCCAAUGUUAAUUUCAUUCUUUAAUUCUUGUCAUUUAAUUGUUCUCUUUAAAUUCUUGUCAUUUACUUAUGCACAUUUAUGGCUUUCUUUACUUUGGCACAUUUAUGCCUUCCAAGUGUUUGUAGAAAUACUUCACUUGGUUUUACUUUCUAGUCAUUUACUUUCUUGCACUUUACUUUCUUGUACUUUCUAUUCCUUGCAAUUUACAUUCUUGCACUUUAAUUUUUAGCACUUUAAUUUCUUGUCA